AUUGAACGCUGGCGGCAGGCCUAACACAUGCAAGUCGAGCGAGCGGCGGACGGGUGAGUAAUGUCUGGGAAACUGCCUGAUGGAGGGGGAUAACUACUGGAAACGGUAGCUAAUACCGCAUACUAUCAGAUGUGCUCAGAUGGGAUUAGCUAGUAGGUGAGGUAACGGCGCACCAAGGCGACGAUCCCUAGCUGGUCUGAGAGGAUGACCAGCAAAACUGGAACUGAGACACGGUCCAGACUCCUACGGGAGGCAGCAGUGGGGAAUAUGGCGCAAUGGGCGCAAGCCUGAUGCAGCAAUGCCGCGUGAGUGAUGAAGGCCUUCGGGUUGUAAAGCACUUUCAGCGGGGAAGCGGUACCCGAAGAAGAAGCACCGGCUAACUCCGUGCCAGCAGCCGCGGUAAUAC
rnacentral:rRNA from 1 species